CACAGGCUUAGGCAGUGACUUUCUUUGCCCUACGGAAUGUGGGUGGAAUUUUGUGCCACUUCUGAGCGGAAAUUUUCAGAGCCAGCAUGUGGUUCUGCCAUCACUCUCGUCCCUCUGCCACAAGAUUAAUGUGCCCUAGAAACUGGCUGCUCCUUCCGUCUUGCUCCCAGAAUGAAGAGGACAUGGAUGAAAUCUCAUGUCUUGCAAUGGCCUCUGUCAUGGCUGAUUCAGCAGAACACUAUUUGGGAAGCUUGGAAACAGGGCAACCCCAGGAGGUGAUCAUUUCUGGCGAGUGGAUGUGCUAGUGGUGGUGGAAAAAGGACAAAGUUGGACCUUGGAAGAGUUCCAGAAGGUUUUGGAGCAGUCAAAUGACUUGUCCAAGAGCAUCGAGCAAGCAUAAUUUGUUUCUCGGGAAUCCCAGUUGGAAGGAAGACCUGCCCCAGUCUCCUCCUGGGGUGGAAUAACCCCUCUCCGGACUUCAGACUGAAUGGAGACAGCUGGCCGUGACUCAGUGGCCACGCUUACCCAAGGCGCACAAACCCCACGAGCUCCCGUUUCCAAGCCUUAUCCUCUUCU